GCCACCCCACCCCGCCCCCUCCUCUCCCUCGCCUCGAAACUUCUCUGAACGGAACCCGCUCGCCUCCCACGACCCCUCCCCUCCGUUAGGCCUCGUUUCGUAGAAGCGGAUCGGAGGGGUUUUCAGCGGAUUUUCCUCGCGUGGCCCAGAAUCCUCCCAAAUCCCCGUUGGCCCGUUUGGUACACAGGGUUUUCACGGCCCAAUUCCCCCGAACCCCUCCUUUUCACGCGGCUCUCAGCCCUCGAGUCCCCCCUCGAGGAUUUGGAGGAGACGCUGCCGCCGCCGCCCGGCUCCUCCUGAAGACACCGCCGCCCGGCUCCUUCUCAACACGCUGCCGACCGACGCCUCGACGCCGAUGUACCUCCUCCGCCGUACUGGCCUUCUCCCCGGUGGUCUUCUUCGGGUACGGUACUGAGCCAGAAAAGAAGCAAUUGGCAAACCUACCCAAGGGUCAUGUAUUAAUGCUGGGUCUUCACAUGUAUGGUUGCCUGGUGAUUCAGAAGGUUGAGAAGUGGAACAAAGCAGAGGAAGAAUGAGACGUUUGCAGGAUCCCUCGAAAUCGUUUGUUGCUUUUGUGUCAGCGCUAUUGUUGUCGGCAUGCUUAAAUGUACGCAUGUCUUAUGUAUUCUCCGCAUGCUUAAAUGUACGCAUGUCUUUCCUCGGACUUGUGAAUGCCGAAAACGUAUGAGAUAUUUUUGGUUCCAAGUCAUGCUGAUGUGAGAGAUUAUGUUGCUGUUAUGUGACAUUGUAAUUAUGUGAUGAUAUAUUGGUUUCAAGUCAAGCAAAUUAUGUUGUUCAUGUGAA